AGCAGCAGCCGCGGGAAUACGUAGGUGGCAAGCGUUGUCCGGAAUUAUUGGGCGUAAAGGGCUCGCAGGCGGUUUCUUAAGUCUGAUGUGAAAGCCCCCGGCUCAACCGGGGAGGGUCAUUGGAAACUGGGAAACUUGAGUGCAGAAGAGGAGAGUGGAAUUCCACGUGUAGCGGUGAAAUGCGUAGAGAUGUGGAGGAACACCAGUGGCGAAGGCGACUCUCUGGUCUGUAACUGACGCUGAGGAGCGAAAGCGUGGGGAGCGAACAGGAUUAGAUACCCGAGUAGUCCCUGUCUCUUAUAC
rnacentral:rRNA from 1 species